GUAGUGAUUGGAGACAAGGUGAUGCAUGAAGGUGAGUGGCUAUCACUGAAUGGAUCUACUGGUGAAGUCAUCGUGGGGAAGCAGCCACUUUCCCCACCAGUCCUCAGUGGUGAUCUGGGAACCUUCAUGUCCUGGGUAGAUGAAGUUAGGCAACUGAAGGUAAAUUCCUAGAAAUAACAAAUAUGUAAUAUUAGUUAAAACAUGGAUACAAACUGUUGGAAGUAGAAACCAACAAAAAGGGCAUCAGAUUAUUUAUUCAGACAGGCCAAAGCUAGUCAACCCCACUACACAUUUUUCAACAGAAAUGCUUAUUCGUACAUAUGAUCCACCUUCCAGGUUUUGGCUAAUGCGGAUACCCCUGAGGAUGCACUGACAGCAAGAAACAAUGGGGCAGAAGGAAUUGGACUAUGCCGGACGGAGCACAUGGUAUGUAUUUUAGUUACUGUCCAAUAUCUUUUGGGUGGGAUCUUGGAAAACUUACUCUUUCUUGAAUUCCUUCGUCGAACAGUUGGGUAAACUUUAAGGACCUCCCGUUCUAGUCUCAUGUUCUCCUUUUCUGCACUUUGGCAGUUCUUUGCUUCGGAUGAGAGGAUUAAGGCUGUGAGGCAGAUGAUUAUGGCUCCCACACUUGAACUGAGGCAGAAGGCACUAGAUCGUCUUUUGCCUUAUCAGAGGUCUGACUUUGAAGGCAUUUUCCGUGCUAUGGAUGGUAUGUGAAAAUCACGAUGCAUUCAUUUACAUGCUCUCCAAUUGAACUGGAUGCACUAGUGUUACUGAACAUAACAAGAGUAAGCAACCUUCUUAAAUAGACAACAUUGACUACUAAUGUAAAGUGAAAAGGUAGACAAGUUUUAAACCUUAGGAUGCAAAAUACUUCAAAAAUAAGAACGAAAUUGGGCCAGUAACAUAUUGCAUCAAUUAUUUAACUUGGUAACAUAAAGUUCUGCUAUGAUUUAUCCAUUAGUUUUUUUUAAUCUUUUAUAGCGAGUGGUAUAUGUACAUGUUUCAUGGAAACAGAUAUAGAAUUAAACUACUAGAAUAAAUUUUAACAUGUAUUGUAGUUAGUUCCACAGUAUGUAUUUUAAAGUGCGGAAUGGAUUUGAACAUUAUUUUUUUUGCAUUUCAGGGCUUUCAGUGACUAUUCGGCUUCUGGACCCCCCACUUCAUGAGUUUCUUCCUGACGGGAAUGUUGAAGACAUUGUGCGUGAAUUAUGUUCUGAAACUGGAGCCAAUCAGGAGGAAGCCCUUGCAAGAAUUGAAAGUCUUUCAGAAGUAAAUCCAAUGCUUGGUUUCCGUGGGUGCAGGUUGGUUUUUGUGCUCCGUUUAAAUCAGUCACCCCCCCUCCUUGAUCCAUUUGGUUCCCUUGUUAGUGAAAUAUUAAAAAGAAUAAACUCUGUAUAUUUACCUCGACUAAUAUUGGAACUGCUAAAAUUCCAGGCUCGGUAUAUCAUAUCCUGAGCUAACAGAAAUGCAAGCCCGUGCCAUCUUUGAAGCUGCUAUAGCGAUGACCAACCAGGGUGUUCAAGUUUUCCCAGAGAUAAUGGUUCCUCUUGUUGGGACACCUCAGGCAUGCAUCUUUAUUUCCUUAUUUGUGCAUAUGGUAUCUCUGCAGUUCAUGGUGUUCAAAAUGACAAAAUCAAAAUUGAAUAAACAACCAAGUUCUGUACACAUGUAAUUUACGAUUUUAUGCAAACAUCAAGUUGACCUACACCCAAUUUCCCACCAAAUUCAUUUCUUGAAAUUUUCUCUCUCGAAUUCUAAGUUUAUUGCUUUCACUUGAUUUUUCCUUCAGACAUCUGACAUUUGACUUUUGCAGGAACUGGGGAAUCAAGUGGCCCUUAUCCGUGAAACUGCUAACAAAGUUUUCGCUGCUCUGGGUAAAACCAUUGACUACAAAAUUGGAACUAUGAUUGAAAUUCCGAGGGCAGCUCUAGUAGCUGAUGAGGUAGGAAGCAUCUAACUCCCUUCAGAAUAAUCUUAAAUAUUGCUGUUUAGGUUUAGCUUUUAGAUCAUAUUUUUCAUGAAUGGUUUAGUAAUAGAACCCCGGAUUUUUACUCUAAAACAUGUGAAUAGUAACUGAUGGUAUGAAUUUAUUAAGUGCAAAUAAUAAGUUUAUCCUCUAAUUUAAAAAAAAAACUGACAUUCUUGUUUUGGUUUCACAACCUGACAGAUAGCAGAGCAGGCUGAAUUCUUCUCUUUUGGAACGAACGACCUCACACAGAUGACAUUUGGCUACAGCAGGGAUGAUGUGGGGAAGUUUCUUCCCAUUUAUCUGUCUCAGGGUAUCCUCCAACAUGAUCCCUUUGAGGUAAAAUUUUAGCAGCUCUCACCCUUCAGUUUUAGAUGAUAUACCUGCAUUUUCAUCAUCCACUCUUGUUUUUCAAGGAAUAUUUCCAUCAUCCACAGAUGCGAGCAUCUCAUGUCCUCUAGGCAUUUUUCAUGUCCUUGACUUUUGGUUACGUGCAUGCUCUGGUAAAAUUCAACCUAGUAACUUGCCCAUUGAAUGUUGAUAAACAUAUCAGGUGCUGGAUCAGAGGGGAGUGGGCGAGCUGGUUAAGUUUGCUACAGAGAGGGGUCGCAAAGCUAGGCCUAACUUGAAGGUUAGUUUUUGGGACUUGUGGACAUUGGCUCUUUUCCUUAGAAAUCAUGGUUUCAUUGUUUGGUGCUGUCUGCAAACAGGUGGGCAUCUGUGGAGAACACGGUGGGGAGCCUUCGUCAGUUGCAUUCUUUGCAAAGUCGGGGCUGGAUUAUGUUUCUUGCUCGCCUUUCAGGUUGGUCAAGUGAUAAACUCAAGAUACAACUCCCAGAUUCAUAACUGUAGCAAAACCUUAACUACUUUUUAUGAAAUAUCUUGUGCAGGGUUCCCAUCGCCAGGCUAGCUGCAGCUCAGGUGCUCGUCUGAGGGCACCGCCUCAUCGGCAACCGGAUCACCUGCUGUUGGUGCGUCUGGUGAAGAAUACUAAUACAAAGCCAUGGAACGGUGGAACUCUGCUGCCUGGCAAAGGCCGUUGUAUCUUGUAUGAAGUCUCCGUGCGCGUGCGCAUGUAAGACUUAAUGUGUGGUUUUCUGCAUUUUCCCUUGAACUACCAUGGUAAUGUAGUACCAAACAGAGAUGAUGACGAAGAACAAUCGAAUAAAUUAAUUGGCGAUUAC
rnacentral:lncRNA from 1 species